CCUGGCUCAGGAUGAACGCUAGCUACAGGCUUAACACAUGCAAGUCGAGGGGCAGCAUUUCAGUUUGCUUGCAAACUGGAGAUGGCGACCGGCGCACGGGUGAGUAACACGUAUCCAACCUGCCGAUAACUCGGGGAUAGCCUUUCGAAAGAAAGAUUAAUACCCGAUGGCAUAAUUAGACCGCAUGGUCUUAUUAUUAAAGAAUUUCGGUUAUCGAUGGGGAUGCGUUCCAUUAGGCAGUUGGUGAGGUAACGGCUCACCAAACCUUCGAUGGAUAGGGGUUCUGAGAGGAAGGUCCCCCACAUUGGAACUGAGACACGGUCCAAACUCCUACGGGAGGCAGCAGUGAGGAAUAUUGGUCAAUGGACGAGAGUCUGAACCAGCCAAGUAGCGUGAAGGAUGACUGCCCUAUGGGUUGUAAACUUCUUUUAUAUGGGAAUAAAGUUUUCCACGUGUGGAAUUUUGUAUGUACCAUAUGAAUAAGGAUCGGCUAACUCCGUGCCAGCAGCCGCGGUAAUACGGAGGAUCCGAGCGUUAUCCGGAUUUAUUGGGUUUAAAGGGAGCGUAGGUGGACAGUUAAGUCAGUUGUGAAAGUUUGCGGCUCAACCGUAAAAUUGCAGUUGAUACUGGCUGUCUUGAGUACAGUAGAGGUGGGCGGAAUUCGUGGUGUAGCGGUGAAAUGCUUAGAUAUCACGAAGAACUCCGAUUGCGAAGGCAGCUCACUGGACUGCAACUGACACUGAUGCUCGAAAGUGUGGGUAUCAAACAGGAUUAGAUACCCUGGUAGUCCACACAGUAAACGAUGAAUACUCGCUGUUUGCGAUAUACAGUAAGCGGCCAAGCGAAAGCAUUAAGUAUUCCACCUGGGGAGUACGCCGGCAACGGUGAAACUCAAAGGAAUUGACGGGGGCCCGCACAAGCGGAGGAACAUGUGGUUUAAUUCGAUGAUACGCGAGGAACCUUACCCGGGCUUAAAUUGCAUUUGAAUAUAUUGGAAACAGUAUAGCCGUAAGGCAAAUGUGAAGGUGCUGCAUGGUUGUCGUCAGCUCGUGCCGUGAGGUGUCGGCUUAAGUGCCAUAACGAGCGCAACCCUUAUCUUUAGUUACUAACAGGUCAUGCUGAGGACUCUAGAGAGACUGCCGUCGUAAGAUGUGGGGAAGGUGGGGAUGACGUCAAAUCAGCACGGCCCUUACGUCCGGGGCUACACACGUGUUACAAUGGGGGGUACAGAAGGCAGCUACCUGGUGACAGGAUGCUAAUCCCAAAAGCCUCUCUCAGUUCGGAUCGAAGUCUGCAACCCGACUUCGUGAAGCUGGAUUCGCUAGUAAUCGCGCAUCAGCCAUGGCGCGGUGAAUACGUUCCCGGGCCUUGCACACACCGCCC
rnacentral:rRNA from 1 species